CAGUAGCAGCAACAGCAACAAAGCGGCGAGGCAACCGACUACAAAGCGACGAGACUCUCCGGGUCUAACCUUGUGUGUGUGUGGGGGGAUAGGGCGCCGCCUCCCUACCCAGUAUGUUUGGGUUGUAUCAGUGUGUGUGUGGGCACUGGCUGCAUGAGUGUUUGUGUGAGCGGAAUGAAAAGCGAACGGCAAACGCACGAAGUACGGGUACGGCUAUGGGUAUGGGUACGGUACGCCGUAGCUAGCUGUAGCUGUAGCCUCGCAUCGGAGGAAUACAUUAUACAAUGUGCAGCGGGGAAUUAACCCCAAAAAGAAAUACUCGAGCGACAAGUGAAAACGAGAGCGAACACAAGCGACAAACUUCAUGGAUGCUUUCGUGGAGGAGCAAUUGCAGUAGGGCAGCAGCGGAGCUGCACGUCAUUCAAAUAGAGUCAGAUAGAAUCAAAGAGCUUAGCAAACAUCCAGAUAUUAUCAUAAAUCAAAUAUUGUAUGCAUAAGCCAGAGACCAUCUGGAAAUGAAAUCAACUGCAGAAUUUGAUUUAUUCCCCGCGACUAAUGAAGCAGCUCAAGUGGAAAAACAAGCCGUAAUUAUGUCAGGGCGGGGGCCCCACUCAUGACAAAUCUCCAGCGAUCCCACAAAGGAGAAACAAAAGGCAAAAGGCAAAGGGUGCCACAGAGGGGCAUCACAUGUGGCAAACGAGCUAAUUAAAGACUGAGCGAGCGAGCGUUGAAAUGGAGGACUGUCAGACGCGGGAGAGGCUUCAUUUUUCACAGUCAGAGGCGUCGGAGAGGAGCAGGGGGAACACAAUAAACAUUUCAUUUAUUUUUGCUAGCAAAAAACUUCUAUUACGAGAGCCAAUCGGUUUGAUCUAUACAAUAUAAAGGAUAUAUCGGCAUAAGAUACUUUUCUCUUGCCAUUGCAGCAACCUAAUAAAAUGCACAAUAACAUUUUCCAGCGCAUGUAAAUACAUUCGAAAAC